rnacentral:miRNA from 8 species
UUCCUAUGCAUAUACCUCUUUGA